GCCCCUAUCGUCUAGUGGCUAGGACGCUAGGUUCUCAACCUAGCAACACCGGUUCGACUCCGGUUGGGGGCGCAA
rnacentral:tRNA from 1 species